rnacentral:rRNA from 1 species
UGGGGAAUAUUGCACAAUGGGCGCAAGCCUGAUGCAGCCAUGCCGCGUGUGUGAAGAAGGCCUUCGGGUUGUAAAGCACUUUCAGCGAGGAGGAAAGGUGGUGAGCUUAAUACGCUCAUCAAUUGACGUUACUCGCAGAAGAAGCACCGGCUAACUCCGUGCCAGCAGCCGCGGUAAUACGGAGGGUGCAAGCGUUAAUCGGAAUUACUGGGCGUAAAGCGCACGCAGGCGGUUUGUUAAGUCAGAUGUGAAAUCCCCGGGCUCAACCUGGGAACUGCAUUUGAGACUGGCAAGCUAGAGUCUCGUAGAGGGGGGUAGAAUUCCAGGUGUAGCGGUGAAAUGCGUAGAGAUCUGGAGGAAUACCGGUGGCGAAGGCGGCCCCCUGGACGAAGACUGACGCUCAGGUGCGAAAAGCGUGGGGCAGCAAACAGGAUUAGAUACCCUGGUAGUCCACGCUGUAAACGAUGUCGAUUUGGAGGUUGUGCCCUUGAGGCGUGG